UACGGAGGGUGCAAGCGUUAUCCGGAUUCACUGGGUUUAAAGGGAGCGUAGGAGGGCAGGUAAGUCAGUGGUGAAAUCUUCGAGCUUAACUCGGAAACUGCCGUGGAUACUAUCAAUCUUGAAUAUCGUGGAGGUAAGCGGAAUAUGUCAUGUAGCGGUGAAAUGCUUAGAUAUGACAUAGAACACCAAUUGCGUAGGCAGCUUACUACACGAUCAUUGACGCUGAGGCACGAAAGCGUGGGGAGCAAACAGG
rnacentral:rRNA from 1 species